CAGUUUCAAAAUGAUGUUUUCUCGCAUUGUAAUAUUUUCACUUUCCUUGUGCCUUACACUGGCUUACAAUUUGAACUCUCCUAGUGGAGCAACAACUCAAGUUACUUGUGGCAAUGGACAGUCCCAAGAAUACAUUCGGAUUGGAGAGAAAUACUACUUCCUAGGUGAAACAAGUGUCAAUUGGUAUGAAGCAGCUCACAUUUGUCGACGACUUGGUGGAAACUUGGCACUUAUCGAAACAGCCGAGGAAUGGCAAAAUAUUUCGGAUUACUUAACACUAAAUCGAUUCAAAUGAUUUUUUUUGGAUCUCUGGCGACGAUUUUGUUAAUGUUUUUGAUUAUGUCUCAUUAACAAACGGUUUGUCAUUGAAUUUUACUGCUUGGUCCUCUGGAGAACCAAACAAUCCUGGAAUCGAGCACUGUAUCCAUUUGUGGAAUAAAGAAGGAGGCUUUACCAUGAACAACUGGGUCUGUACUAACCUGGCUCGUUACAUUUGCCAGAGAGAGGAUUAUACUCGCUGCUGGGAUGGCUACUAAGAAAAUUAAUAAUAACAUGUAUAAAAUAUAGAAAUUAUCAAAAUAUUAAUACUAAUAAAGAACCAUUUUAAACUAG